rnacentral:rRNA from 1 species
UGUUCCCAUUCCGAACACAGAAGUUAAGCUCUUGAGCGCUGAUGGUACUUGGUGGGCAACCGCCUGGGAGAGUAAGACGUAGCCACGU